rnacentral:rRNA from 1 species
AGAGUUUGAUCCUGGCUCAGAUUGAACGCUGGCGGCGUGCCUAACACAUGCAAGUCGAGCGAUGAAGGGAGCUUGCUCCCGGAUUAGCGGCGCACGGGUGAGUAACGCGUGGAUAAUCUACCCACGAGAUCGGGAUACCAGCUGGAAACGGCUGACAAUACCGGGUAACAUACAAUUUUACUAUUGUGUCAAAGGCGGGGCAACCUGUCGCUUGUGGAUGAGUCCGCGUCUCAUUAGCUAGUUGGUAAAGUAAUGGCUUACCAAGGCAAUGAUGAGUAGCCGGCCUGAGAGGGUAAUCGGCCACACUGGGACUGGAACACGGCCCAGACUCCUACGGGAGGCAGCAGUGAGGAAUAUUGCGCAAUGGACGAAAGUCUGACGCAGCGACGCCGCGUGAGGGAUGAAGGCCUUCGGGUUGUAAACCUCUGUCAGGAGGGAAGAACCGCCAUGGUAGUAACUGCCCAUGGUCUGACGGUACCUCCAAAGGAAGCACCGGCUAACUCCGUGCCAGCAGCCGCGGUAAUACGGAGGGUGCAAGCGUUAAUCGGAAUCACUGGGCGUAAAGCGCGCGUAGGCGGCUUUGUAAGUCAGAGGUGAAAGCCCACGGCUCAACCGUGGAACUGCCUUUGAUACUGCAAGGCUACGAGUUUGUGAGAGGAUAGUGGAAUUCCUGGUGUAGGAGUGAAAUCCGUAGAGAUCAGGAGGAACAUCAGUGGCGAAGGCGACUGUCUGGCACAACACUGACGCUGAGGUGCGAAAGCGUGGGUAUCAAACAGGAUUAGAUACCCUGGUAGUCG